CCCCCCUUAAGGGUCGACUCCCAGGCGACCCACGACAAACAAAAAAAAAAAAGAAGUCAAACCCAAAACGGGUGGGUGGAGGGGCGCCAGGAGGGGGGAAUCAAAAAAAUGGACUGCGGCAGAGCCGAGGGACGUCAGGCGGGCGUCCAGAAAACUACCCCAGGGCAUGGCAGGGAGCCUCAGGCGGACGGCCUGGGGGGCAAGCAGAGGCAGAGUGAAGGCGGAACCCUUCAGGAGGCCGGCGGCAAGGACGAUGAGGGCUCAGUCCCUCAGGAGACCUGCAGUGGCACAGAACCCCCUCAGAAGACCGGCAGCGGUGAAGGCGGAACCCUUCAGGAGGCCGGCGAAGGCGAGGUAGAGGGCGGGUCCCCUUAAGAGGAAGGCCAGGUAGAGGGCGGGUCCCCUCAGGAGGCAGGCCAGGUAGAGGGCGGGUCCCCUCAGGAGGCAGGCCAGGUAGAGGGCGGGUCCCCUCAGGAGGCAGGCCAGGUAGAGGGCGGGUCCCCUCAGGAGGCAGGCCAGGUAGAGGGCGGGUCCCCUCAGGAGGCAGGCCAGGUAGAGGGCGGGUCCCCUCUGGUGGACAGGGUAGAGGGCGGGUCCCCUCUUGUAGAAGGCCAGGCAGAGGGCGGGUCCCCUCUGGGACUGAGCCCUCGUCGUCCUUGCCGCCGGCCUCCUGAAGGGUUCCGCCUUCACUCUGCCUCUGCUUGCCCCCCAGGCCGUCCGCCUGAGGCUCCCUGCCAUGCCCUGGGGCAGUUUUCUGGCCGCCCGCCUGACACCCCUCCGCUCUGCCCCAGUCCAUUAUUUAUU
ensembl:lncRNA